AUUGGAAGGGGUGUAUUUAUUAGAUAAAAAACCAAUGCCCUCCGGGGCUUCUUGGUGAUUCAUAAUAACUUAUCGAAUCGCAUGGCCUUGCGCCGGCGAUGGUUCAUUCAAAUUUCUGCCCUAUCAACUUUCGAUGGUAGGAUAGUGGCCUACCAUGGUGGUAACGGGUAACGGGGAAUUAGGGUUCGAUUCCGGAGAGGGAGCCUGAGAAACGGCUACCACAUCUAAGGAAGGCAGCAGGCGCGCAAAUUACUCAAUCCCGAUACGGGGAAGUAGUGACAAUAAAUACUGAUACAGGGCUCUUUUGGGUCUUGUAAUUGGAAUGAGAACAAUCUAAAUCCUAAUCGAGAUAGGCU
rnacentral:rRNA from 1 species